UCAGGAUGAACGCUGGCGGCGUGCCUAAGACAUGCAAGUCGAGUGGGUUUAGACCCACGGCGAACGGGUGAGUAAUACCUAGGAACUUUUUCCAAGUUGAGCAUAACCAGCCGAAAGGUUGGAUAAUACUCAAUGUCAUCGCAAGAUGAAAGUAGCAAUACGCUUGGAGUGAGGCCUGGGCACCAUCAGCUAGUUGGUAAGGUAAUGGCUUACCAAGGCUAUGACGGUUAGGGGCCCCGAGAGGGGAAACCCCCACACUGGGACUGCGACACGGCCCAGACUCCUACGGGAGGCAGCAGUUUGGAAUUUUGGACAAUGGACGAAAGUCUGAUCCAGCGACGCCGCGUGGACGAUGAAGGCCUUCGGGUUGUAAAGUCCUUUUGCUCGGGAACAAUUUUUGAGCGUACCGAGAGAAUAAGAGGUUGCUAACUCUGUGCCAGCAGCAGCGGUAAUACAGAGACCUCAAGCGUUAUCCGGAAUCAUUGGGCGUAAAGCGUUCCGAUAGGUGGUUUUACAAGUCAGAAGUGAAAUCUCUCAGCUCAACUGGGAGACUGUCUUUUGAAACUGUAAAACUAGAGGGGCAAAGAGGAAGCUGGAACGAACGGUGUAGUAGUGAAAUGCGUUGAUAUCGUUCGGAACACCAAUAGCGAAGGCAAGCUUCUGGGUGCCACCUGACACUGCUAGGACGAAAGCGUGGGGAGCGAAUGGGAUUAGAUACCCCAGUAGUCCACGCUGUAAACGAUGUACAUUAGGUGCUAGGGAGUAUCGACCCUUUUUAGUACCAUAGCUAACGCGUUAAAUGUACCGCCUGGGGAGUACGGCCGCAAGGCUAAAACUCAAAGGAAUUGACGGGGACCUGCACAAGCGGUGGAGCAUGUGGUUUAAUUCGACGGUAAGCGAGGAACCUUACCAAGGCUUGACAUACAGCUGCAAAUCCGCAGAAACGCGGACUUCUUCGAGAGUGCUGAACAGGUGCUGCACGGUUGUCGUCAGCUCGUGCCGUGAGGUGUUCACUUAAGUGUGAAAACGAGCGCAACCCCUAUUACCAGUUACAAGUGUCUGGUGAAACUGCCCGCGUCUAAGCGGGAGGAAGGUGGGGAUGACGUCAAAUCAGCGUGGCUCUUACGCCUUGGGCGACACACGUGCUACAAUGGGAAAGUACAGAGGGACGCCAAGUCGCAAGACGGAGCAAAUCCCACUAAAAUUUCCCCCAGUUCGGAUUGAGGGCUGCAACUCGCCCUCAUGAAGCCGGAAUCGCUAGUAACCGUGGAUCAGCCUCGCCACGGUGAAUACGUUCUCAGGUUUUGUACACACCGCCCGUCAAGCCAUGGAAGCAGGAAGCGGCUAAAGUAUUACGCAAGUAGUCCUAAGCCGAAGCUUGUAACUGGGGC
rnacentral:rRNA from 1 species